GCCCUCGUGGCUCAAUGGUUAAGCACUUGGCUGCUAAACAAAAGGCUGGUGGUUCGAACCCACCCAUCAGCU
rnacentral:tRNA from 1 species